ACUGAAGAGCGAAGUGUUUCUUGCUGAACUAUUCACACCUGUUUUGAUGUUGCAGUAAAACGCCAAGGAGGCAGAUGCUCUAACACGGACCAUGGUUCCCCCGCCAUCUUAACAAGGUGACCCCUGACCCCGUUCCAAUUCACAUAUUGUUUUGCAUGGGUCAAAGUCCUGGC
rnacentral:lncRNA from 1 species